rnacentral:rRNA from 1 species
AAUGAACGCUGGCGGCAGGCUUAACACAUGCAAGUCGAGCGGAGAGAGGUAGCUUGCUACUGAUCUUAGCGGCGGACGGGUGAGUAAUGCUUAGGAAUCUGCCUAUUAGUGGGGGACAACAUUUCGAAAGGAAUGCUAAUACCGCAUACGUCCUACGGGAGAAAGCAGGGGAUCUUCGGACCUUGCGCUAAUAGAUGAGCCUAAGUCGGAUUAGCUAGUUGGUGGGGUAAAGGCCUACCAAGGCGACGAUCUGUAGCGGGUCUGAGAGGAUGAUCCGCCAAACUGGGACUGAGACACGGCCCAGACUCCGACGGGAGGCAGCAGUGGGGAAUAUUGGACAAUGGGCGGAAGCCUGAUCCAGCCAUGCCGCGUGUGUGAAGAAGGCCUUAUGGUUGUAAAGCACUUUAAGCGAGGAGGAGGCUACUUUAGUUAAUACCUAGAGAUAGUGGACGUUACUCGCAGAAUAAGCACCGGCUAACUCUGUGCCAGCCGCCGCAGUAA